ensembl:lncRNA
GAUAUCAUUGCUUGGAGACUUUUUACCUAAUGGGCACGUAUGACAACCACAGUAACACAACUAGCCUAACUUCAGGCAGGAGCAGCCUGAUCACCUAUCAUUUUCCGAGUUAAUGACUAUUUGAGAGACUGAGAUGUUUUAAAGAUAUAAGUGUGAUUUGGAGAAUGUGCAAUUUAAUUAAAUUGAUAAAGUUGUUCAUCUGAGAAAAUGGCAGAGCAGAAAGUAAAUUGAUUUGCAGUACAGGAAGUUAACCAAGUCACCGGAUUUCCCAUAGACGGUCUAAAGUACUAGUAUAAUUGCAGAGGAAGCAGAUGUUGAGGAGACAAGCGAGGCUGCAAAGGUCUCCCCUUUCAAAGGGAGCAAGAGACAGAACUCAGGUUGAAGCAGUGGAAAGCAUGAAGUGCUGGACAGACUUUGAACUGCCACAGAAAUGAAAAAUAACAGCUGAGCAACAUCUUGGGUUUGCUAAUUACACCAGAGAAAGUGAGUGGAAGAUUGAGUGGAAGAUUGAGUGUACAAGAGUGUGUUAAGUUUCAAGUUGUGCUGUUCAACGAUGAUGCACUGUGGAAAAAGACACAUUUGUGCUGUUGUUGCAUGUCUCCUUAUAUUUGCAAGCAUUUUAAUCUGCUCCAGGAAAGGUACUCAGCUACAGAACAUUAUAACUAGAAAAAUCUUCCCCCAGGCAAGAACUGUCAGUCCAGAAAGUCAGCUUUGUAGAGGAAAACCUGCUCAAAAUGUAAUAACACCGUUAAAAGAUAACAGAACGUUUAUCAUUGCCCCGUACUUUGAUGACAGAGAAAGCAAAGUCACCCGUGUGAUUGGGAUUGUUCACCAUGAAGAUGUAAAAGAACUUUACUGCUGGUUCUGCUGUCAGCCUCAGGGAAAGAUAUAUGUGUCAAAAUCACAAAUUGAGGUUCACUCAGAUAGAUUUGGAUUCCCUUAUGGUGCAGCAGACAUAGUUUGCUUGGAACCCCAAAACUGCGAUCCGACGCAUGUAUCGGUUCAUUGGUCCCCCCAUGGAAAUAUUGAUCAGCUGCCAAGGUUUGAAAUUAAAAACCGCAAGGCCGAGACCUUUUCUGUUGACUUCACUGUAUGCAUCUCUGCCAUGUUUGGAAAUUACAACAAUGUCUUACAGUUUAUACAGAGUAUGGAGAUGUAUAAGAUUCUUGGGGUACAGAAAGUGGUGGUCUAUAAGAACAGCUGCAGCCAGCUGAUGGAGAAAGUCUUGAAGUUCUAUGUGGAAGAAGGGACCGUAGAAAUAAUUCCCUGGCCAAUAAAUUCACACCUCAAGGUUUCUUCUAAAUGGCACUUUUCUAUGGAUCCCAAAGAUAUUGGCUACUAUGGCCAAAUCACAGCACUAAAUGACUGUGUAUAUCGUAACAUGCAGAGGAGCAAGUUUGUGGUUCUUAAUGAUGCUGAUGAAAUAAUUCUUCCCCUUAAGCACCCAGACUGGAAAACAAUGAUGAGCAGUCUUCAGGAACAAAACCCAGGGACUGGCAUUUUCCUCUUUGAGAAUCAUAUCUUCCCUGAAACCGUAUCUACCCAUAUGUUCAACAUUUCAUCCUGGAAUACCGUGCCAGGCUCAUCUAUUGCUCGUAGGAGGCAAAGCUCAAAUGGCAAUCACCAUUAGAAAAGAUCUCACCAAGAAUGUUCAUAGAACUCAAGAGUUACAAACUGGACGUUAUCGCAUCAAUGCCUGUGUUAGCAGUUGCUGUCUCUAAGAGCGAAAGCUUGGACAUUAAAACUUAUAAGGUAAAAGUACUGGUGUGAAUGAUGGGCUUGUGUGAUCAUGUAAUUAUCAGAGUUUCUUUUACUAUUUUUCAUUGAUUUGCUGUUUGAAAAUAUAAUGGCUCCUUUGUGUGUCUCUAUUCUGCAUGAAGUUAAUGAGCUGAGCAGACAACGCGGCGGUCCAGCCCGGGGCCCCCGCAGACAGCGGACGCUCGCGGCUCUCCGCGGCUCGGUGCCGGGGGCGGUGCCGGCGGAGCCGCG